GCUUAGAGUUUGAUCCUGGCUCAGGAUGAACGCUGGCGGCGUGCCCUAACACAUGCAAGUCGAGGGAGAAGCUACCUUCGGGUAGUGGAAAUCGGCGCACGGUUGAGUAACACGUAGCUAUCUGCCCCAUAGAGGGGGAUAACAGUUGGGAACAGCUGCUAAUACCCCAUAUCCUCGUAAGAGGAAAGCUCCGGCGCUUUGUUCAUGAGGCUGCGGACCAUCAGCUAGAUGGUGGGGUAAUGGCCCACCAUGGCAACGACGGUUAGGGGACCUGAGAGGGUGACCCCCCACACUGGGACUGAGACACGGCCCAGACUCCUACGGGAGGCAGCAGUGAGGAAUAUUGCACAA
rnacentral:rRNA from 1 species